AGUGGCACCUGCUGUUGGUGCCCUUCUGGCUCUGAAGGAUGCAAGGGAACAGUAAAACACGUGUGAUUGCCAAGCUCAGUUCUGUACCAUCAGCUUAAACA